UCCUUAGAUGUCCGGGGCUGCACGCGCGCUACACUGAAGGAAUCAGCGUGCUAAAACCAUUGUCGAAAGGCAUUGGUAAACCCAUUAAAAUCCUACGUGAUUGGGAUCGGGAAUUGCAAUUAUUUCCCUUGAACGAGGAAUUCCCAGUAAGUGUGGGUCAUAAGCUCGCGUUGAUUACGUCCCUGCCCUUUGUACACACCGCCCGUCGCUGCCCGGGACUGAGCCGUUUCGAGAAAAGCGGGGACUGCUGCUGUCGGGGCUUUCGGGCCUUGGCUUCGGUGGAAACCGCUUUAAUCGCAGUGGCUUGAACCGGGCAAAANUCGUAACA
rnacentral:rRNA from 1 species